GAACUUCUGUGUUAAGACUGUUUUCCCAAUGCCAGCCACUCCUUUUGUCAUCACUGUUCUGAUUGGUUCUUCUCUUCCAGUCCCUCCCUCUGUGAUGUAGAGCUCUGUGUAGAUCUGAUUCAGAAGAGUUAGGUUUCCUGCUUUAGCAGUCCCUUUAAACACACACUGGAACUUCUUCUUCAGCUGAGCCAUCAAGUCAGCAAUAUGUCAAGCUCCUAAAGUUCAUGGACAACACCACCGCCAUUGGACUCAUCUCUGAUGGGCAUAAGUCUGUCUACAGGUGGCAGAAAGAACAACCUAGAGCUGGAUGACAUAUUUUACAAUGUAGCCAAUAGCACCACCUUGUG